AAAUAUAGUUGGUUAACAGUUUUCUUAUUAAAAGGACAUGAUCGAAUGUUCCGUUCGUUGUUCGUUUUCAAAUAAUAAAAUAUAAAGAAGAAAAAAACAAAAAAUUCGUAUCCUUCUUUUAUCAAAAUUAGUCGAUUUCCAUAUUUACCUUAAUGCAAUUGGGCAGAAGUAUUGUGAACGUAUUGGAUUCGGUACAUAAGAAGAAUUCUGUUAUUCGUGGAGUGAGGAAAAAAUAAAGGGAAAGAAAUCGAAUUUUGAAACUUCCUGUACGGCGGUUAGCUACAAUACACAAACCGAGUUGUAAAGUGAUUGCUUGUCCAUUAUAGGAUAUUCUCAUUGAUUCGAGUCGAACGUGAACGUUGAACUCAAUAUACCAUUUGAUCAACACCGAUUCGCGCUGGCUCAUUUUCACAAGAUAAGAAGCCGUGUUUUAUUGCGAUAAAGAAUACUUAUAAAGGUGAUAUACUGGAUUCGCCAAAUAGUCGGCCCAUUCACAUAGAAUUGGAACCGAUAAAUUCAAUUGAUGUCCAAGAGUCGAGAACAACGCUUGAAUCAAUUUUUUCAUCAUCCCAAGCGAAAAGAACUUCCUGCGUCAUGGGGUUGGAUUUUAUGGACAACACCGGAGUGGAUUAUGAGAAUGCCCUCCUAAAUGCUGGAUUCGGAAAAUUUCAUUAUUAUUUAUUAGCAGUCUGUGGACUAAUUUAUUUGAAUACAGCAGUCGGUAUAACGAUACUAUCGUUUGUGUUACCAUCAGCAACAUGCGAUUUUCAAAUGACAUCCAAAGACAAAGGCUGGUUAACGGCCGUUCCAAUGUUCGGAAUGCUUCUGGGAUCAUAUUUCUGGGGCUGCUUAGCCGAUACAAAAGGCAGAAAAGUCGUGCUUAUUGCUACAUUAUUGUUGGAUGGCAUUUGCGGGCUCAUUUCGUCGGUGUCACAAUACUACAGUUUAUUUUUGGUGUUACGAUUUUUUAAUGGAUUCGGUGUGGCCGGAGCUAUGGGUAUUUGCUUUCCGUAUUUAGGUGAAUUUCAGCCGACUAAAUAUCGGGAAAAGAUUUUGUGCUGGAUGGAAAUGUUUUGGACUUUGGGAAUUAUCAUUCUUCCUGGAAUCGCAUGGAUCAUAAUUCCAUUAGAUGUUGAAAUCAAACAGGAUGGAUUCCUAUUCCACAGUUGGAAUUUAUUUGUCGGAAUUUGUGCAAUACCCAGUCUACUCCUAGGCUUCUGGUUGUUUUUCUUUCCGGAAAGUCCAAAAUUUCUCAUCGAAUGUGGAGAGACGGAAGAGGCAUUGGAAGUUUUGAAGGACAUCUUCCAAGUGAACUCUGGAAAUGAUCGAGCAUUAUAUCCCAUACUUUCGUUACAAGAAAAAGAGAAAAUCAGUGCCAUAUCACACAAAACAUCGAAAUCAGUACGUGCCUUAAGUAUGCGAAAGCCGAGAGAAAUGAAGCUACUUCUGUCGGAAAUUUGGCUACAAACGAAACUACUGUGCAAACCACCACAUUUACGUAAUACUAUACUCACAUGUGCAAUUCAAUUCGGUUUGACCACCAGUUAUUACACACUUAUGAUAUGGUUCCCGGAAUUGUUCUAUCGAUUUGAAGAAUUCGAGAGUGCACAUCCUGGUCAACAUGCGUCCGUUUGUGAAGUGUCAUCGAUUAUUCUAACAAAUGGAACGACCGUAGAGAAAUUCUGUGGUGAUCCGUUAAACGACAGUGUGUACUUUCAUACGAUAAUUAUUGGUCUAGCAUGCAUUCCGACUAGUUUCUGGUUACCGCUAUGCGUACACAAGCUAGGAGCCAAGUUCUUCUUGAUCUUUAGUCUUGUCAUCGCUGGUGCAGUUACCGUAGGAUUGUAUUUCGUAAUUGACUCAACGCAAAAUCUCAUUCUAUCGUGUAUAUUCGAAGCGUUAACUUCUUUAGGAAUAAGUACAGUUUAUUGCGUGAUGGUUGACCUGUUUCCGACGAAUUUAAGGGUCAUGGCAGCAGCCCUAUCACUAACGUUUGGGAGAGGAGGUGCCUUAAUUGGGAAUCUUGUUUUUGGGUUUCUAAUCGAUCUAAAUUGUGUUGUACCAAUAGUAUUAUUUUCUGCAAUGUUGUUCAUAAGCGGAAUCCUUUGCUUCUUUCUACCAAGUACCGGAGGCGAAUCUCUCGACUAAAAUAUACGUAUAGAAUUAGAAUAUAAAUUGAAUUAAUUAUUAAUGAUUUACAUAUAUAGAUAAGAGAGAAAUGAAAGCAAAAAAUUAUAUAAAACAAAAUAUUUCACAUAAUUUCAAAGUAUUUAAAAGAAAAACAAAGAGAAAUGAGAGAAAACUUAAUUAUACGAUUUAAAUCCAGUUACCUUUAAUUAUAUUAAUUUAUACAGCACAUAUUAUCAUCGAUAUUUAUAUUUAUAUUGUAUAUUGGAAGCAAAGUAAGAAGGAAGGAAAAACUAUUCAAUGAGUCCUCAUUCAAGCCAUGAGAAAUUUGUAACCACACAGUGAAUUGAUUUCGUUUAAUUUUUACAUUAGAGGUAUAAUCGUCACUUAGGAAAAGUGUGCUCUCAAUCGAGAUUGGGAUUGAAACAAAGUGAUCAUCAACUUUUUUUUUUAAA